rnacentral:rRNA from 1 species
UUUCCGUGCCGGACCGUGUCCAAGUCCCUUGGAACAGGGUAUCAAAGAGGGUGACAAUCCCGUACUUGACACGACGACCGGUGCUCUGUGAUACGUUUUCUACGAGUCGAGUUGUUUGGGAAUGCAGCUCAAAAUGGGUGGUAAAUUCCAUCUAAAGCUAAAUAUAGGCGAGAGACCGAUAGCGAACAAGUACCGUGAGGGAAAGAUGAAAAGCACUUUGGAAAGAGAGUUAAACAGUAUGUGAAAUUGUUGAAAGGGAAACGAUUGAAGUCAGUCAUGUCCAUUGGAUUCAGCUGGUUCUGCCAGUGUAUUUCCUUUGGACGGGUCAACAUCAGUUUGAGCCGACGGAUAAUGGCAGAGGGAAUGUGGCACCCCCGGGUGUGUUAUAGCCCUUUGUCGCAUACGUCGGCCCAGACUGAGGAAUGCAGCUCGCCUUUAUGGCCGGGGUUCGCCCACGUACGAGCUUAGGAUGUUGGCAUAAUGGCUUUAAACGACCCGUCUU